CCCCUAGAUGUUCUGGGCCGCACGCGCGCUACACUGAACAGUUCAACAAGUCUUAACCUUGGCCGAUAGGUCUGGGUAAUCUUUGAACGCUGUUCGUGAUUGGGAUAGACCUUUGCAAUUAUGGGUCUUCAACGAGGAAUUCCUAGUAAACGCAAGUCAUCAGCUUGCAUUGAUUACGUCCCUGCCCUUUGUACACACCGCCCGUCGCACCUACCGAUUGAAUGGUCCGGUGAAAUCUCGGGACGGCGGCUCGGUCGCUUGCGUCCGACUGCUGAAACUUGAUUAAACCAUAUCAUUUAGAGGAAGGUGAAGUCAUAACA
rnacentral:rRNA from 1 species